AGGCGCUUAGUUUAAAAAAAACAUUUGAUUUCGGCUCAGAAGAUUACGGUUAAACUCCGUAUUUGUCUA
rnacentral:tRNA from 1 species